rnacentral:rRNA from 1 species
GUGGGGAAUAUUGGGCAAUGGGCGCAAGCCUGACCCAGCAACGCCGCGUGAGGGAAGAAGGCUUUCGGGUUGUAAACCUCUGUCCUUGGUGACGAAAAAAAUGACGGUAGCCAAGGAGGAAGCCCCGGCUAACUACGUGCCAGCAGCCGCGGUAAUACGUAGGGGGCGAGCGUUGUCCGGAAUUACUGGGCGUAAAGGGUGCGUAGGUGGCCUUUUAAGUUGGAUGUGAAAUACCCGGGCUUAACUUGGGGGGUGCAUCUAAUACUGGGAGGCUAGAGUGCAGGAGAGGGAAGCGGAAUUCCUAGUGUAGCGGUGAAAUGCGUAGAUAUUAGGAGGAACACCAGUGGCGAAGGCGGCUUUCUGGACUGUAACUGACACUGAGGCACGAAAGCGUGGGGAGCAAACAGGAUUAGAAACCCUUGUAGUCC